rnacentral:tRNA from 1 species
GCCAUCAUAGUUCAAUGGUAAAACAGAGCAAUGGUAAUGCUCAGUUCGGAGUCCGAUUCUCCGUGAUGGCA